rnacentral:rRNA from 1 species
UACGGAGGGUGCAAGCGUUAUCCGGAAUCACUGGGUUUAAAGGGUGCGUAGGCGGCUAUGUAAGUCAGUUGUGAAAUACCUCGGCUUAACCGAAGGAAGUGCGAUUGAUACUGCGUAGCUUGAAUCAGGUUGAGGUAGGCGGAACGUGACAUGUAGCGGUGAAAUGCUUAGAUAUGUCAUAGAACACCGAUUGCGAAGGCAGCUUACUGGGCUUUGAUUGACGCUGAGGCACGAAAGCGUGGGGAGCAAACAGG